rnacentral:rRNA from 2 species
GAUGAACGCUGACAGAAUGCUUAACACAUGCAAGUCUAUGAGAAGAUCUACUUCGGUAGAAGGUAUCAUGGCGGACGGGUGAGUAACGCGUAAAGAACUUGCCUCUUAGACUGGGAUAACAGAUGGAAACGUCUGAUAAGACUAGAUAUAAUAGCGACAUGGCAUCAUGUUGUUAUGAAAGGUAACACUAAGAGAGAGCUUUGCGUCCUAUUAGUUAGUUGGUGAGGUAAUGGCUCACCAAGACGAUGAUAGGUAGCCGGCCUGAGAGGGUGAACGGCCACAAGGGGACUGAGAUACGGCCCUUACUCUUACGGGAGGCAGCAGUGGGGAAUAUUGGACAAUGGAGGAAACUCUGAUCCAGCAAUUCUGUGUGCACGAUGAAGGUUUUCGGAUCGUAAAGUGCUUUCAGUAGGGAAGAAGAAAGUGACGGUACCUACAGAAGAAGCGACGGCUAAAUACGUG